rnacentral:rRNA from 1 species
AUUGAACGCUGGCGGCAUGCUUUACACAUGCAAGUCGAACGAGUGGCGAACGGGUGAGUAAUUUAUCGGCACGUUCCGAGUACUGGGGGAUAACCAAUCGCAAGAUUGGCUAAUACCCCAUAUUAUUCGAGCGGCCCAUACCUGAUUAGCUAGUUGGUGGGGUAAAGGCCUACCAAGGCGACGAGCAGUAGCGGGUCUGAGAGGCAGAUCCGCCACACUGGGACUGAGACACGGCCCAGACUCCUACGGGAGGCAGCAGUGGGGAAUUUUGGACAAUGGGGGCAACCCUGAUCCAGCCAUGCCGCGUGUAUGAAGAAGGCCUUCGGGUUGUAAAGUACUUUUGUUAGGGAAGCGGUACCUAAAGAAUAAGCACCGGCUAACUACGUGCCAGCAGCCGCGGUAAUUC